rnacentral:lncRNA from 1 species
UAGCAGGGCAUGGAAUAUUUAUGCUGAGGAAAAAAGAAUGUAAAGUAAAUACAAGGUAUUAAAAAAAGAAAAACGUAUGUUACAAAAGUGUUUUUUUUUCUUUCCUAAUUAAUUAUUCACCAUUUUUUAUUAACGAAUCUGAGGGAUGGCCUUUAAGUUUUAAAUGGUGAUCUGGAUUUCACAUAGGUGUUUAAUUGUUUCUUGACUUCCACAAUAAUGUCAUGUACAUUUAGUAUUCCUGGUGUUCUCUUAGCUUCCCAGCGCCAGAUCUCGGUGUGCAGUUGAAGUGGAUGAAGUCGUUUAUCAGCAAGGAACAUCACAAGUGUCGUACAACAAAGAAGUCCUUCCAGAUUGGAUAUUAAGACAAAGAGCUUUUGGCAUUUGUGCAGACUUAAAUGAACAUCUGUGUUUCUGAUGUCAGAAGAUUCAUUGUGUGAUAACGGAAGUGAAGCCUCAAAGGAAAAUCCUUUUGCUGAUAAAAAUUGCAGCUGGAACUGACCGUGACUCAAGCACUUCCAAGGUCAUCCAACAUGAGUGAGCUCAAGCAGCACGGCACUUGGGAGACUGUAUAAAAUAAAAACAUUUUCCUACGUUUAAUCA